GGCAAGUUUCUUCGGGCGGAGCUCGACCGCCAACACAAGAAAUAGUCGAUUUCAUCGACGACAAUCGCGAGGAGUUCGGGGUCGAGCCCAUCUGCACGGUCCUGCGCAGCGCAGGCUUGCAGGUGGCCCUG
rfam:Mycobacterium xenopi 3993 GMX3993.contig.34, whole genome shotgun sequence.